CAACAUGAUCUCUUCUCAAAAUUAAGGCUAUGUCUUUAAAAAAAAAAGGUCGCCAGAUUUGGACUGGAUUAGGGUUAGACUAAAAUUAGAUUAGGAUUAGGGUUAGCGGUUAGGGGGUUAGGGGGGUUAAUGGUUAGAGGUUAGGGUGGGGGUUAUGUUUAAAAUUAAGGCAAUGUCUUAAUUUUGAACGCUUUUUACAAUUAAGACAUAGCCUUAAUUUUCGGAAGAGAUCGAGCUGA